AACAAAUUAGCAAAUUUGUGCAUCGAACUUAGGAUUCGAAGAAGGAUUUAUAAAUGUCCAUUUGUUG
rnacentral:tRNA from 1 species